rnacentral:rRNA from 1 species
AUUGAACGCUGGCGGCAGGCCUAACACAUGCAAGUCGAGCGGUAGAGAGGUGCUUGCAUCUCUUGAGAGCGGCGGACGGGUGAGUAAUGCCUAGGAAUCUGCCUAGUGGUGGGGGAUAACGUUCGGAAACGGACGCUAAUACCGCAUACGUCCUACGGGAGAAAGCGGGGGAUCUUCGGACCUCGCGCCAUUAGAUGAGCCUAGGUCGGAUUAGCUAGUUGGUGAGGUAAUGGCUCACCAAGGCGACGGAAUCCGUAACUGGUCUGAGAGGAUGAUCAGUCACACUGGAACUGAGACACGGUCCAGACUCUACGGAGGCAGCAGUGGGGGAAUAUUGGACAAUGGGCGAAAGACCUGAUCCAGCAUGCCGCGUGUGUGAAGAAGGUCUU